rnacentral:rRNA from 1 species
AGAGUUUGAUCCUGGCUCAGGACGAACGCUGGCGGCGUGCUUAACACAUGCAAGUCGAACGGAAAGGCCCUUCGGGGUACUCGAGUGGCGAACGGGUGAGUAACACGUGGGUGAUCUGCCCUGCACUUUGGGAUAAGCCUGGGAAACUGGGUCUAAUACCGAAUAUGACCAUGCACUUCCUGGUGUGUGGUGGAAAGCUUUUGCGGUGUGGGAUGGGCCCGCGGCCUAUCAGCUUGUUGGUGGGGUAAUGGCCUACCAAGGCGACGACGGGUAGCCGGCCUGAGAGGGUGGCCGGCCACACUGGGACUGAGAUACGGCCCAGACUCCUACGGGAGGCAGCAGUGGGGAAUAUUGCACAAUGGGCGCAAGCCUGAUGCAGCGACGCCGCGUGAGGGAUGACGGCCUUCGGGUUGUAAACCUCUUUCAGCACAGACGAAGCGCAAGUGACGGUAUGUGCAGAAGAAGGACCGGCCAACUACGUGCCAGCAGCCGCGGUAAUACGUAGGGUCCGAGCGUUGUCCGGAAUUACUGGGCGUAAAGAGCUCGUAGGUGGUUUGUCGCGUUGUUCGUGAAAACUCACAGCUUAACUGUGGGCGUGCGGGCGAUACGGGCAGACUUGAGUACUGCAGGGGAGACUGGAAUUCCUGGUGUAGCGGUGGAAUGCGCAGAUAUCAGGAGGAACACCGGUGGCGAAGGCGGGUCUCUGGGCAGUAACUGACGCUGAGGAGCGAAAGCGUGGGGAGCGAACAGGAUUAGAUACCCUGGUAGUCC